AAUAGGCGAACAUUUUACUCUCAUGUAAUAGUCUCAGCUAUAAAAUGGAAGCACAAUCAAGAAAUGUCAUGAUAUUUGGCUUGUUCCUUUUAUAAUCCUGAACUAAUUUGGUACUCUAUGGUUCAACAUAUUGCCAGUCUGCAUGUUUUUUCUAGUUACUCUGUAUGAUGUUUGGCUUCUUUUUUUUUUGGUACUCUGUAGUUCAUCGAUAUUUAUAGUCUGCAUGAAUUUUGCACUAUAUAUUUGAAUAUAUUUAUAGUCUUAGGCUCCAUUUGGUCAUCACAUUGGUAUUUAUGAAUGUAAAUUUAUCUCAAACCAAAUGAAGCUUAAGCCCUUUUUUAAUUCUGCCAAUGCAACUCCUUGCAUUGCCGGUCCUAAGCCCGGGUGAAGGAGGAGGGAGAAGGGCUUCAAGGUGAGUUUUAUCAUUUUUUUUUCCAUUUUUUGAAGCUGUUAUAAUUUUUGAGUUUAUUUUUGCUUGCAGGUUGGCAGAUUUGCUCGCAUAUGUUGGCGUAUGGCCUUACAAUUCUCAGAGGUACAUUCGGGCUAGCAGAUUUGCUCACGUAUGGUGAGUCGUGUCCUUUUCUUCCAUUUUCUCAAACUGUUAUAGCUUUUGAGUUUACUACAAGUAGAUAGUUUUUAAUUGGUGAUAAUGACUUUCCCUUGAGAUCAAGCAAGAGCUGGGAGGAAGCGUUUUUUCGAGCCUAGAGGGAGACCACAUCACAUUGGUUAAUGUAUAUCAAGCAUGUGUAGAGUGCUUGGAGACUAGCAAGAUGGCUAACAGUAAAAAGAAAACAAUUGGGAAAUGUAUAUCACCGAUGUGCCAAACACAUCGGUGAUAGCUGGUGUAUAUCACCGAUGUACGACACACCAGCUAUAUAGCUGGCCAUAGUGUGUGGUACACCAGCCAAGCCGCUUCCGUAUUCUACUAUACAGGACAUCGAACAAGUGUAAAAGGAUUCCUUGGUGUGUGGGUGGGGUGUUGAGUCCCCAAGUUUUGUUGGGCCCACCGUGAUGUAUGUGAUAUAUCCACACUGUCCAUCCAUUUUUCCAAACAUUUUAAGGCAUGGGUGCAAAAAUGAGGCAAAUCCAAAGUUCAAGUGGACUGCACCAUAGAAAGCAAUGGGACAAUAUACUCAUUGUUGAAAUCUUCUUAAAGCCAACUAUGAUGUUUAUUUGCCAUUCAACCUGUUUAUAAGCUUCUAAUGGCAGGUUUACUGUAGAUUAAGCCCAGUUUCGUUGCAUGAAAGGUUAUGGACUCACAUGAAAGGUUAUUUACUGGUUAGCUUUGUAUCCCUGCUAGGUCUGAAAAUGAAAAUAUGCCAUUUCCUCGAAAAAUCUGACAGAUUGCAGCGGGGGUGGUGGUUUGGAUCAGUCAAACGUAACUUGUUGCAGUAGACAUAAGGUGUUUGCUUUUGCUGGCUGGACACUUGCCAAGGUGUUCUACAACAGUCAGAUUCAAUAUUGCAGUAGACAUGGUGUUUUAAUUAUGUGACACAGACUUCAGAUAAUCUUCCCGGCUAUUGUUUGCCUUCUGCUCCGACUGAAAGUAUUGGCUAUGUGCUGCAGGUACGAUCUGCUACACUUGACACAUGGCUUCCAGAACAAGUUGCAUUUAUUCAAACAUUGGGAAAUGAGAAGUCAAAUAGCUAUUGGGAAGCAGAACUGCCUCCAAAUUAUGACAGAAAUCUUUUGGUGGGCUCUAGUUGAUGAAUAGCCUGGAUCCAUCACACGUGCUGCGAAUCACCUUAGCACCCAUCUUCUACGUAACAUCUGUUUGUUUGUGGUCUAAACACCUUGGUCUUAUUGGAUGUCUUUCACUUAGCAAUACGAGAUUUCUUGUGCAUCAAAUAAAGCUUUGUGUUUUCCUGAAUUGUUCAUGGUAAAAUGGGAUUUCACUAACUUGUUAGGAUGCCUGACUUGAGCUGACAAAACAGGUUUCUUCUAAUUCAAAAGUAGAGCCGGUCCCAAUGCAGGCUGAUUCAACACAGAAAGUGCAACCUACACCCAAUAUCCCACCUCCAAAGGGUGAUUAUGCCACUGAUCUUUUCAAUAUGCUUUCUAUGGAUGGCCCAAGUCAAAAUGGGUGAUAUUUUUGGGAUCCAUGACAAGCUUGAAAGUUAUUCAUGUCCACUGUAAAGCAAAUGAGUCAAUGUCUUGCUUGUAAAUAUGUAGUUUUCACUUUCGGGUUGUUCAAAUCAUUGACCGGUAUGAGACAGUGCAUUCCAGAGAGCUCAAGAGGCAAUAAGCUUGCAUUUAUACAGGACCCAAAAAUGGACAAAACCUACACCAGGAUAGUAACAGACAUGUUUCCGAUGGGGCAAAACCCAAAGGCAGGGGAGCUCCGAAGAAGGCUCCUACUAGAAAGUAGAAAAUGCCGACUAUCGUUGAUAGUGAAGAAGAAGAUGAUGAGGUGCUCGAGCUAAAAGAAUGAAUGAUGAGGUGCUCGAGCUGAAAGAAUGAAUGAUUGUGUUGAGAUUAGGGCUGAAGUUAGAAAUGAAUGAUUGUGUUUGAUUGAAUGAAUGAAUGAUUGUGUUUGAUUGAAUGAAUAAAUAAUUGUGUUUAAUUGAAUGAAUGAAUGAUUUAACCAUGAAGUAUUUAUCUAUAUCAGCUUAUAUGAGUUAUCAGGGUGUACUACAAUGGUAAGACCUGUCAUUACUAAUUAAAUUUUUUAUUAACAAUAGGCAUUAGCUACAGCUAUUAACCGUAGCCCUUUGUUGAAAACCGUAGCUCUUGCUAAUUUUAGCCUUUUGCUACGGUUCGCAUUCUACUUUUCGCUACAGAUACAAUCCGUAGCUGUAUAUAAAUUUAAAACCACAGACAAUAUCGCUACAAAUUUAAUCCAUACAUAUAGUUUUAAUAGCUACGGCUA